rnacentral:rRNA from 1 species
CCUACGGGGGGCUGCAGUGGGGGAUAUUGCACAAUGGGGGGAACCCUGAUGCAGCGACGCCGCGUGGGUGAAGGAGCGUUUCGGCGCGUAAAGCCCUAUCGGCAGGGAAGAAGGGGGACGGUACCUGACUACGAAGCCCCGGCUAACUACGUGCAAGCAGCCGCGGUAAUACGUAGGGGGCAAGCGUUAUCCGGAUUUACUGGGGGGAAGGGGGGCGCAGAGGGCAGGGCAGUCUAGGCGGGAAAGCCCGGGGCCAAACCCCGGGACUGCUUUUGGUACUGGGAGGCUGGAGUGCAGGAGGGGCAGGCGGAAUUCCUGGUGUAGCGGUGAAAUGCGUAGAUAUCAGGAGGAACACCGGUGGCGAAGGCGGCCUGCUGGACUGCGACUGACGUUGAGGCCCGAAAGCGUGGGGAGCAAACAGGAUUAGAUACCCUUGUAGUC